ACUACAAACUUGUUUCGUAUGACAAGCAAUGCUUGCCACACUCAUCAGGUGAAUUAAAAAAAAAUGCAAAAAAAAAAAGCAUUGCUUGUCAUACGAAACAAGUUUGUAGU